rnacentral:lncRNA from 1 species
GUGUGUGUUGCUAAGCAAUGAGUAGUAGUAUCAUACAAGGCCAAGAUCAUUUAGUGCAGCUGCAUAAGAGGUAGUGGCAUGAGCAUCUAAAGGGACAUUUACAAGGUUGUCUAGGUAGGUCACAUCCUGCAUAUUUAGGCUUCCUUGCAAUUCGCUUUCAUAUAAGAAAUGGUCUCUCAUCAUCUUAUGCAGAAACUCUGUGUUUUCCUCCUCAGGGCUGAGUUGAAGGCAGAAGAAGAGCAGCUGCAGCACGGCGUCCGGGUUGUCAACCACGACGAGCUUCCCGUUCCCGGGGCAGAAGAUGAAGGUCCCAAAGGGCCGGUAAGGGCUGAGCU